AGUUCGUGUUGGGGAUAAAGCCUAAUCAUCUCUUUAAACCUUUCUCUAGCCUCAUACAGUGACUCUCCAUCAUUUUCUUAAAACAAGUAAUUUGAUUUCUGAGCU